CGGGAUUGGAAUGACCAAGGCCGACUUGAUCAAUAACCUUGGCACCAUUGCCAAGUCGGGCACCAAAGCCUUCAUGGAGGCUUUGCAGGCUGGUGCAGAUAUCUCUAUGAUUGGCCAGUUUGGUGUUGGUUUUUACUCUGCCUAUUUGGUUGCUGAGAAAGUGACUGUCAUCACGAAGCAUAACGACGAUGAGCAGUAUGCCUGGGAG
rnacentral:lncRNA from 1 species